rnacentral:rRNA from 1 species
AUGAACGCUGGCGGCGUGCCUAAUACAUGCAGGUCGAGCGAACAGAUGAGGAGCUUGCUCCUCUGACGUUAGCGGCGGACGGGUGAGUAACACGUGGAUAACCUACCUAUAAGACUGGGAUAACUUCGGGAAACCGGAGCUAAUACCGGAUAAUAUAUUGAACCGCAUGGUUCAAUAGUGAAAGACGGUUUUGCUGUCACUUAUAGAUGGAUCCGCGCCGCAUUAGCUAGUUGGUAAGGUAACGGCUUACCAAGGCAACGAUGCGUAGCCGACCUGAGAGGGUGAUCGGCCACACUGGAACUGAGACACGGCCCAGACUCCUACGGGAGGCAGCAGUAGGGAAUCUUCCGCAAUGGGCGAAAGCUUGACGGAGCAACGCCGCGUGAGUGAUGAAGGUCUUCGGAUCGUAAAACUCUGUUAUUAGGGAAGAACAAAUGUGUAAGUAACUAUGCACGUCUUGACGGUACCUAAUCAGAAAGCCACGGCUAACUACGUG